rnacentral:rRNA from 1 species
AAUAUUGGACAAUGGGCGAAAGCUUGAUCCAGCCAUGCCGCGUGUGUGAAGAAGGCCUUUUGGUUGUAAAGCACUUUAAGCGAGGAGGAGGCUACUGGGAUUAAUACUCUAGGAUAGUGGACGUUACUCGCAGAAUAAGCACCGGCUAACUCUGUGCCAGCAGCCGCGGUAAUACAGAGGGUGCGAGCGUUAAUCGGAUUUACUGGGCGUAAAGCGUGCGUAGGCGGCUUUUUAAGUCGGAUGUGAAAUCCCUGAGCUUAACUUAGGAAUUGCAUUCGAUACUGGGAAGCUAGAGUAUGGGAGAGGAUGGUAGAAUUCCAGGUGUAGCGGUGAAAUGCGUAGAGAUCUGGAGGAAUACCGAUGGCGAAGGCAGCCAUCUGGCCUAAUACUGACGCUGAGGUACGAAAGCAUGGGGAGCAAACAGGAUUAGAUACCCUGGUAGUCCAUGCCGUAAACGAUGUCUACUAGCCGUUGGGGCCUUUGAGGCUUUAGUGGCGCAGCUAACGCGAUAAGUAGACCGCCUGGGGAGUACGGUCGCAAGACUAAAACUCAAAUGAAUUGACGGGGGCCCGCACAAGCGGUGGAGCAUGUGGUUUAAUUCGAUGCAACGCGAAGAACCUUACCUGGUCUUGACAUAGUAAGAACUUCCAGAGA